UACGUAGGGGGCAAGCGUUGUCCGGAAUUAUUGGGCGUAAAGCGCGUGCAGGCGGCUUGUUAAGUCGGAUGUUUAAUGUCGGGGCUCAACCCCGAUUCGCAUCCGAAACUGGCAAGCUUGAGUGUAGGAGAGGAAAGUGGAAUUCCACGUGUAGCGGUGAAAUGCGUAGAGAUGUGGAGGAACACCAGUGGCGAAGGCGACUUUCUGGCCUAUAACUGACGCUGAGGCGCGAAAGCGUGGGGAGCAAACAGG
rnacentral:rRNA from 1 species